rnacentral:piRNA from 1 species
UCAGUUCGGAGGUCCACAGCUGCAG